AGAAGUAGGAUACCAUCCUCUGUGUUGAUGCCUCUGCUGGGAGAUCUGGGCCGAGUGGAAUCAGCAUCCCAGGCCCAGUCCCCCGUGUGUUGCAAUGCCAAGCCAUUGAGAUGUCCACAAGCCCCAGCUCAGCUCCAUUAUUUGAUGUCCCUGGUCUGCCUGUUACCCAACAUCAGCCUUUGCACAGGUGAGGUAAUGAGGCAGAAGAUCAAGAAUAUGUUCUCACUGCAAUUGAGGAGCGGGGCGGGUGUGGAGAGAACAGAAUGUCUGGGAAGGGCUUCAUGCAGCAAAUGGAGCCGAUGAGGAUUCCAAGGACUCCCUCCAGGAUAAAGAAUGUUUGAGGGUAAAUGGCCCUGAGAGCUACUUGAUUCUCUCUCCCUCCCUCAAACAUCACUAAGAACACGCAUUGCACAGAGCAAGGAAAAUGCAGAGACCUUCCCAUUGACCGUUGGCAAGCACUCAGAGUCAGCAGAAACCAGAGCCAGGGCUGUCAGGAGGCAGACAGCAAAUCUGCAGGCUCCUCCAAGCCCUUGAGCAGGGAGGCUGGGGAGCUCCUGGCUCUUAUGGGUUGAGGAAUGUGCAACCAUUUCUUUCUCAAGGUCUGUGCGGGCAGCUGUGGGUUCAGGGACAGUGAAAGAAGAGGAGAAAGCGCAAGACCAACUGUUGGAAUGCCUGCAAGAGAUCAGCUCUUGGAUGAAGAGCAGCUGGGCCCAGGCGAGACCAAAGUGAUGCCGGUCAGAAAGGGGAAACGCUUUGGAGAACUGGUCGAGGCAGUGUCUCCACCUUCCAUUGAAGGCUCCAUUCGUCAGAGAGAUGUGACCCCUGGAACUGUUCGACUCCUUGCUAAGCUUGGAAGAUCGGGUAUCAUGAGUAUUUACCAAUGCCUUCCUUUCUCCUCCAGCUCACUAGGAAACUUCCUCCCACUGAGGACCUGUCCACAGUGAUCUCUGCAUUCAUCCCCUCCUGGCUGGAUCAUUGUAACUCAAUGUAUCUGAAUGUGAAAAUGAUGCACAGGUUCCAGCUAGCACACAAUGCAGCUGCCCCCUUCUCCUUGGCUCAGGUUGACAUGAGCACAUCAGACCUGUGUUCAAGUCCCUCUGCUGGUCCCAGUCAGCUUCCAAUCUCAGUUUAAGGCCUUGCUCUUAAUUUUAAAAACAAUUAAUGGAUCAAGCCCCAGCUAUAUCAAUGAAUUAUUUUUGAUCUAUGAACCACCACGACAGCUGGGCUCCACUGGGGCAAUGCAGAUCUCAAAGCCCAGGACAAAGCACUUGAGAGCUGGAGAUAAAGCAUUCUCUGUCAAAGGGAUCUGACUAUGACACAAAGACCCAAAGGAAAUCAAACAAAUCCAGAAAGUCUGACCGUCUGUAGGAAACGCUGCCAAACCUUCCCCUUUGAAAAGGCCUCUUCACCAUACAGCAGACACUCAUAGCACUGACACUGCCUUCUACCUCCAAACCCCAACACAGACCCACCCUAAAAUCCAAAACCUGACCGCCUCCUCUACCCCAAAACAAUUCUGACCCCUCUCGGAUCCCAAGCCCCAGCACUGACCCCCUCUUCUACCCAAUAAAACACUACCACCUAAAAAUCCUACCCUAGAACAAAUCAACCCAAAACCCCAAAAGUCAAUUGAUAAAAUUUUGAAAAACAAAAUCCCUUUCCCAAACAGUUUUUUACCCUGAAAAAAGGGAGAAGUGCUAGAGACUCCAUGAAAUCAACCAGGGACUUUGCUAGUGCUAUUGAUUUUAUGUGGAAGGUGCUCGGAUACCAGCGAUGUAUGGCAGUAUUGAUACUCAUAGAUAGAUAGCUGGAUUAGAACAGCAGGGGAUGUCCAAGUGGCGCAGGAGAAGCAGCAAGAUGGAAAUCAGCAUCAAGGAGGCUCUGAUUGAGGACCCGCUGCACUACAAUGCUCUGGAUUCAGAGAUGGACCUCUGCCCCAGCUGCACUGACUGCUGCCCCAGCUGCCCCAGCUGCACUAACUGCUGCCCAGGCUGCCCCAGCUGCACUAACUGCUGCCCAGGCUGCCCCAGCUGCAAGUCCUGCUGCAGCUGCUGGAAACGUGUCUUCUGCUGCCUCCCUAAGCUACUCUGCCGUCUGCCCAAGUUCCCCGGCUGCCCCCUGCACAUCAAGAGAAUCCUAAUCAUCGUGGUUGUCAUUGUGCUGAUAGUUGUGGUCGUCCUGGGAGCCCUGCUGCUGGGACUGCACGUGACCCAGGAACACACUGAGACUGUUUUGCAAAUGACCAUUGAGGGGCUGGAGGGGGAAGAGUCUCGACUGCGGCUCUCCAUGGACUGGGAAGAAGAGGUGGCAACUUUCCACAUUGAUGCAGGAACCCAUGACCCGGGCACAGUGGUGUACGACUACAGUAAUCUGCUGAUCAGCUACAAAUCCUGGCAAGGCCGAGCCUGCUACAUUACCAAGAUGGACAAGGAGAACAUUCAGGGCUUGGAUACCGUUGCGAAGGCGUUCCACCAACAUCUCCAGCUCAAGUCUCUCAUCCCAACUCCUGAGCAGAGUGAGGAGGAGGAGGAGGAGGAGAAAGGGUUUCCCAUGCCCCUGGCUGAUCGCUCCAUCCUGGGCACUACAAUUAACAUCCUCUGCAGCAACGUUCCUAUCUACUGGGAUUAGCAAGGCCUCAGGGAAAAUGCGUUCAACACUGAAUGACAAAAGAAGAGGCCAGGGCAAUACCAGUAUGGGCAAGUUUUACAGGAUGCAGACAGGAACUCAUCUCAACAGAGGAUCCAUAAAGGACAGAGCAUCUCCUGCCUGCCAUUGCUUUCUGAGGGGGUCCCAGCAGAAUGGGAACAUCACGUGUUCAGCCAGACCCCCAGUUGUGGCUUUGCUGACUCUGUACCUGUGGGUGAUUAUGGUGCAGCUGGCUCUGUGCAGAACUCUCUCGCUGGCCCCAAUUCAGGAAAGCUCAACGCACAUGGUUAAGUUCCUCUACCUUCAAGGGGACUCAAGUGGGUGCUUAGAUGCUUUCCUGAAUAGGGCAGCUUUCCAGAAUUGGGGGAACCCAGAUGGAAGAGCUGUGCCAAUGGGAAGAGGAGCCAGAGGGACCCUGCUAUAAAUAACAGCUGUACAUGGGCUGAUCUGUUUGCAUUGGAUGCAGCGGGCAUUUGCUAGGGACAUUAUAGAAUGAGAAGAUUGCUUGCCAUUGUGGGUGUUAGACUUCUUUUUAGAGAAUAAAAUCUACAAUCCCUCACCAACCCCUCUUAUUUCUUCUUCUGGGUAAUGAGGUAUUGUGUCUUCACUUUACAUGACCUCACAGCCUAGUGGGCUAGCACAAUGUGGCCAGAGUAAUGACAGCAGGGACAACUCAUCAGACUAAGGGCUUGUCUACAUGGAGUGUUAGUCCAGAAUAGCUGAUUAACUCCAGAUGUGGAUGCUCUUAUUCCAGCAUAAAAGUGCCUUAAUCCAAAUUAGUUUAAUCCACUUUAUGUGCCUUUGGGCAAUUACAAUGCACCUGGCUCUAUAUAGGAGUCACUUUGUGAACUAAAUUAAUUUGGACUUUGUUUAAAACUAUGGUGUCAUGUUGUUCUCCACUGCUAAUUAGUGGAGCUUAUUAGAAAAAAAGAAUUGUCAGAAUUUACUGUUUUGUUUAAAUUGGAACAUUCUACAGGACUGUGUCAAUUCUGACAAAAUCCCAACAGAAACCAAGCACGUUUCCAGUGGACCUUUGCCUGCCAGGCAGGAUUCCACGAGAAACCUGACUGGCUCCUUGGCAGACCAUCUGGCAGAAUGCAGUGAACCCAGGCUCCCAGCUUCUCAGCUGCCUGCCUGGUGGGCUGGUGGGAAGCUGGGAGCCUGGAAGUUGUGGGAGCCCCAGUUCCCAGGCUCGUGACUCCU